rnacentral:rRNA from 1 species
CCUACGGGGGGCAGCAGUGAGGAAUAUUGGUCAAUGGGCGCGAGCCUGAACCAGCCAAGUAGCGUGAAGGAUGACUGCCCUACGGGUUGUAAACUUCUUUUAUAAAGGAAUAAAGUGAGGCACGUGUGCCUUUUUGUAUGUACUUUAUGAAUAAGGAUCGGCUAACUCCGUGCCAGCAGCCGCGGUAAUACGGAGGAUCCGAGCGUUAUCCGGAUUUAUUGGGUUUAAAGGGAGCGUAGAUGGGUUGUUAAGUCAGUUGUGAAAGUUUGCGGCUCAACCGUAAAAUUGCAAUUGAAACUGGUUGACUUGAGUAUAUUUGAGGUAGGCGGAAUGCGUGGUGUAGCGGUGAAAUGCAUAGAUAUCACGAAGAACUCCGAUUGCGAAGGCAGCUUACUAAACUGCCACUGACAUUGAUGCUCGAAAGUGUGGGUAUCAAACAGGAUUAGAUACCCGAGUAGUC